rnacentral:rRNA from 1 species
UACAGAGAGGGCAAGCGUUGUCCGGAAUGACUGGGCGUAAAGCGCGCGCAGGCGGUUUUUUAAGUUGGAUGUGAAAUCCCCGGGCUUAACCUGGGAACUGCAUUCGAUACUGGAAGACUAGAGGCCGAGAGAGGAAAGCGGAAUGACGAGUGUAGAGGUGAAAUUCGUAGAUAUUCGUCGGAACACCAGAGGCGAAGGCGGCUUUCUGGCUCGGACCUGACGCUCAGGCGCGAAAGCGUGGGGAGCAAACAGG